UACGGAGGGGGCUAGCGUUAUUCGGAAUUACUGGGCGUAAAGCGCACGUAGGCGGCUUUGUAAGUAAGAGGUGAAAGCCUGGAGCUCAACUCCAGAACUGCCUUUUAGACUGCAUCGCUUGAAUCCAGGAGAGGUGAGUGGAAUUCCGAGUGUAGAGGUGAAAUUCGUAGAUAUUCGGAAGAACACCAGUGGCGAAGGCGGCUCACUGGACUGGUAUUGACGCUGAAGUGCGAAAGCGUGGGGAGCAAACAGG
rnacentral:rRNA from 1 species